UAUAAUUAAAAAUCUCUUCAUGCAAUAGUUUUAUUUCUUCCGGGAAAUAAAACGGAAGAAGAUCCAAAAAUCCCAUGGAUGGAAUCAGAGAGGAAGAUUUUCCAGAUUCCGACCAACAGAGAAAUAUUGAUCUGGAUGAAGAUCAGCCGUGCUAACAGUGUUAGCACCGGAGGCUAGCAGGUCUUAGCAGAGAUUGGAUGUGAAUUUAUUUUAACGGUUUAUUUACUACAGGAAAUGUUUAUAAAUGAUUUAACUGAACAGCAGAACAUCAGAUUAUUCACUCUGCUUUAUUGGUCACUGCUGAUGUUAGAGGUUUUAAUGCAUCCCUGUGUGUGUGUGUGUGUGUGUGUGUGUGUGUGUGUGUGUGUGUGUGUGUGUGUGUGUGUGUUGAUCCUCCAUCGCCCCCUCAGUAAAAUGUGUAGCUCCCGUCACGGCCUGCAGGGGCCGCCACUGUCUCUCCACGCCUGAAUCACAUCUCGUCUGUCUGCAGGUUUCCUUUCGUCGCCAUCUCCAUCGGCUUCACCAUCAACAAGAGGGUGGAGGUGGGCGUGGUCUACAGCUGCCUGGAGGACAAGAUGUUCACGGCCCGGCGGGGCAGGGGGGCGUUCUGCAACGGGCAGCCGCUGCAGGUUUCUGACCAGACAGAUGUUCAUCGCUCCAUCAUCGCCACCGAGUUCGGAUCCAACAGAGACGCAGAAGUCGUGGACAAGAUCUUCAGCAGCCUGAGGAACAUCCUGAGGCUCCCAGUGCACG